GGGGAUUUAGCUUAGUGGUAGAGCGCUUGCCUAGCAAGUGCAAGGCCCUGGGUUCGGUCCCCAGCUCCG
rfam:Rattus norvegicus chromosome 15, whole genome shotgun sequence.